ACCCUGGUUUAAAGGUUGCUCUUGGAACCUUCUUAACUUGAGCCAGUGAGAAAUCAAGCUCAGUAGUCAGCGACGGGUCCAUCGCAGAGGCGCAGAUAUGCACCUACCGUUCUCCCCAGUGACUGACCACGGUGACACCAAGAAGCAGAUCCGACGCACUGUCCCAUUCACCUCCUCUCCCGGGGCCAUGCUCCCUCAGGCACGGGAAAAUGUACUUGCUGGGGGUCAGAGAGAAAAUCACUGGAACUAGAAAGCCUGAAAUCGGUAAAAGAAUCCAAAAGCAAUGACAGCAUCUGCUACAGAAGGUAAAACCUCCGCACUCACUUAAG
rnacentral:lncRNA from 13 species